CAUUUACCAUAUAAAUCUUGUGUUUUGAGACCUUUUCUACUGUUAUAGCGCCACCUAUGGUCUGAUCUCCAUGAAACUUUGCAUGCUUGUUAAGAGUCACCUGUUACAUGAUUUCACUGAGUUUCAUAAAGUUUUGAGUUUUCGUUUAGGUUUUAUAGGCUUUGGGGUAUGUUUGGCCACACCCCUUUUUCUAAAUUACCCCGUUACAGCUAACCAAAGGACAAAAUUCAACAUUUUUUUAAUAAUUAUUGAUCUAGAGAGUCCACAGAAUAUUACUGCAGUGGUUUGGUUCCGAUCGGGCAAAAAACCUAGGACUAGUUCGCAAAAGUAGGUUUUUAACAUAUUUGUGAAUAACAAUUGAACGAUUUGAUUGACAGCAAUGGUUCUUGAGGCAAAGUUGUGCAUUACGAGGAGAUCUAUCAAAUGUUAUGCAUAUUGUGUUGAUAUGUGAAACACCACGUGAUUACAGAGCCAUAAAACUCUUUAGCGCCAACUAGUGGCCGAUUUCUUUCAAAAUUCUUACAGACCUUAAGGUUCAUGAGUCGAACGUACCCAGCGAGUUUUGUUCCGAUCAACAUCCGUUAACCCUUUCAAAUAGGUGCUUAAAUUUGUUUGGCCAAUGGCGGCCAUGUUUUUUGAGAUAUGCAAAUGUCCUCAUAGGUACUUGUGCCCCUUCAGACCAAGACACUGCAUACCAAUUUUCAAGUCGAUCGAGCCAACGGUUGCCUAGUUAUAGCCAUUUAUGUGUUUUUUCUAUCUUAUUGCGCCCCCAAGUGGCAGAG